rnacentral:rRNA from 1 species
UACGUAGGUGGCAAGCGUUGUCCGGAAUUAUUGGGCGUAAAGGGCGCGCAGGCGGCGUCGUAAGUCGGUCUUAAAAGUGCGGGGCUUAACCCCGUGAGGGGAUCGAAACUGCGAUGCUAGAGUAUCGGAGAGGAAAGCGGAAUUCCUAGUGUAGCGGUGAAAUGCGUAGAUAUUAGGAGGAACACCAGUGGCGAAAGCGGCUUUCUGGACGACAACUGACGCUGAGGCGCGAAAGCCAGGGGAGCAAACGGG